rnacentral:rRNA from 1 species
GGCUGUGGNUCAACCAUAGUUCGCUUUGGAAACUGUCAAACUNGAGUGCAGAAGGGGAGAGUGGAAUUCCAUGUGUAGCGGUGAAAUGCGUAGAUAUAUGGAGGAACACCGGUGGCGAAAGCGGCUCUCUGGUCUGUAACUGACGCUGAGGCUCGAAAGCGUGGGGAGCGAACAGGAUUAGAUACCCUGGUAGUCCACGCCGUAAACGAUGAGUGCUAGGUGUUGGGUCCUUUCCGGGAUUCAGUGCCGCAGCUAACGCAUUAAGCACUCCGCCUGGGGAGUACGACCGCAAGGUUGAAACUCAAAGGAAUUGACGGGGGCCCGCACAAGCGGUGGAGCAUGUGGUUUAAUUCGAAGCAACGCGAAGAACCUUACCAGGUCUUGACAUCCCGAUGCUAUUUCUAGAGAUAGGAAGUUACUUCGGUACAUCGGUGACAGGUGGUGCAUGGUUGUCGUCAGCUCGUGUCGUGAGAUGUUGGGUUAANUCCCGCAACGAGCGCAACCCCUAUUGUUAGUUGCCAUCAUUCAGUUGGGCACUCUAGCGAGACUGCCGGUAAUAAACCGGAGGAAGGUGGGGAUGACGUCAAAUCAUCAUGCCCCUUAUGACCUGGGCUACACACGUGCUACAAUGGUUGGUACAACGAGUUGCGAGUCGGUGACGGCGAGCUAAUCUCUUAAAGCCAAUCUCAGUUCGGAUUGUAGGCUGCAACUCGCCUACAUGAAGUCGGAAUCGCUAGUAAUCGCGGAUCAGCACGCCGCGGUGAAUACGUUCCCGGGCCUUGUACACNCC